rnacentral:rRNA from 1 species
GGGUUGUGAGGUUAAGCGACUAAGCGUACACGGUGGAUGCCCUGGCAGUCAGAGGCGAUGAAGGACGUGCUAAUCUGCGAUAAGCGCCGGUAAGGUGAUAUGAACCGUUAUAACCGGCGAUUUCCGAAUGGGGAAACCCAGUGUGUCUCGACACACUAUCAUUACGUGAAUACAUAGCGUAAUGAAGCGAACCGGGGGAACUGAAACAUCUAAGUACCCCGAGGAAAAGAAAUCAACCGAGAUUCCCCCAGUAGCGGCGAGCGAACGGGGAGGAGCCCAGAGCCUGAAUCAGCAUGUGUGUUAGUGGAAGCGUCUGGAAAGGCGCGCGAUACAGGGUGACAGCCCCGUACACAAAAGCGCAUGUGCUGUGAGCUCGAUGAGUAGGGCGGGACACGUGGUAUCCUGUCUGAAUAUGGGGGGACCAUCCUCCAAGGCUAAAUACUCCUGACUGACCGAUAGUGAACCAGUACCGUGAGGGAAAGGCGAAAAGAACCCCGGCGAGGGGAGUGAAAAAGAACCUGAAACCGUGUACGUACAAGCAGUGGGAGC